rnacentral:rRNA from 1 species
UACAGAGUUCAUGCCCGAAAGGGUAGACCUCCCACCCUUGUGUAUUUAUACUAUGUUGCUUUGGCGAGCCGCACUUGUGCCUUGGGCUUUCGAGCUCGAGUGUGCUCGCCAGAGACCUUCUAAAUUCUGAUUAUUAGUGUCGUCUGAGUACUAUAUCAAUAGUUAAAACUUUCAACAACGGAUCUCUUGGUUCUGGCAUCGAUGAAGAACGCAGCGAAAUGCGAUAAGUAAUGUGAAUUGCAGAAUUCAGUGAAUCAUCGAAUCUUUGAACGCACAUUGCGCCCCUUGGUAUUCCGGGGGGCAUGCCUGUUCGAGCGUCAUUUCAACCCUCAAGCUCUGCUUGGUAUUGAGUCCUGCCAGUAAUGGCAGUCUCUAAAAUCAGUGGCGGUGCCGUUGGGUCCUGAGCGUAGUAAUACUAAUCGCUACUGGAUUCCCGCGCGCUUCUUGCCAAUAACCCCAAUUUUCUAUGGUUGA